rnacentral:lncRNA from 1 species
UGACCAUGAUCAUUAAUGAAACUUUAAGAUUAUAUGGUCCAGCAAAUGGCCUAAUGAGAAAAGUUGGAAGAGAAGUUCAGAUUGGAAAGCUAGUGUUACCUGCUAAUAUAGAUCUUUAUAUUGUAAAUGUUGUACCUCAACAUGACCCUCAACUAUGGGGAGACGAUGUGCAUCUUUUUAAACCAGAGAGGUUCGCAGAAGGAAUUGCCAAAGCUACCAAUUACAAUGCAGCUGCAUUUUGUCCCUUUGGAAUUGGACCUCGGUCUUGUGUUGGUAUGAGCUUUGCAACCAUGGAAACAAAGAUUGCGCUCUCCAUGAUUCUUCAACGCUAUACCAUUUCCCUCUCCCCUGCUUAUGUCCACUCACCAAUAUCUGUUGUCACCAUUCAACCAGAACAUGGAAUUCAAGUAAUACUCAAGUCACUGCACAGCAAUGUUUAAUGUACAUGGUUGCUAUGAAUUCAGGGUUUAACCUUGCUGGUUUAGGAUUUCUUGUUUAAGAGAUUGCAUUUAAUAUGUUAAUUAAAUGCUUACUUUACAAUUUCGUGUGUUACAAAUCACCUACUUAAAUUGUCUACGCUGUAUCUUUUUAUCUAGAAAAAAAAAUCUCCCCCAACAAGAUGCUUUGCAUACCGAAUGGUGAGAACGAUGUAGAAGAUUCAAGAAAUAAGUCAUUAAAAAAUCGCGGAAAGGACUAAAUUGAAAUCGCGGAAAAAUCGUGGGGUAAAAUUAAAAAAAUAAAAGUACUUGGUUGUAAAGCCAUUAAAAAGCAGAAGGGCUAAAGGUACAAUUAAUCCUCCAACAAAACGGUCGGAUCCUUGGCGGUUCGGUCGGGUCGAUCCGAUCUAGGUCAAAACGACGUCGUUUUGGGCGUUUUGGAGCUGGGCCAAAACGGCGCCGUUUUAUGCGCCUAUAUAAGCCAAGUUUUUUUUUUUUAAUUUCAUUUUCCCUUUCUUUAAAAAAAAAAUUCAAAAACACUCUCCCCUUUCCUCUCUUCCCCAGAAAUCGGCAAGCCUUCGGCAAGGGCUCCGUCCAUCGGCCACCGACCGACAGCCGGGGCUGCCGUACACGGCGGCGGGGAGCCAAAAAAUUUUAUUUUUUUUUCGAUGCACUGCCUUGGCUACCUUGAGCAACCACCGAUGAAAGUAAAAAAAAAUCUUUCCUUUUUCUUUUAUUUAAUAUUUCGAAAUAAUAAUAAUAAAAAUAAACGAAAACAAAAAUAAAAAAAGGCACCUUUAGUUUUUUUUUUUUUUGAAUCUCUUUUUCUAUUUCUCCAAAAAAAGAACCCCCUUUUACAAUGUUCGAAUGACUUUAUAUAUAGUCAUUUUACAAUUUUUGGUUCUAUUUAUUUUUGCUGUCCUUUCUUUCUGAUUUUGCAGGUGCAAGUGGCGGAACAGUUGGGCGGUGCAGGUGGCGGCAGCAGGCCUAGGGCGUUAGGGACGUGCGGCGCCUGAGCUAGGAGGCAGAAGACCCUAGGUGCGGCGCACCUAGAGUUUUGUUUAUUUUUUGUUUUUUCUGUCAUGUGGGCUGCUAGGGUUUAGGGUAUUGGGCCUGCUGUAAUUUGGGCUCUUUUAUUUUUGGUCUGAUUUGGGGUUUGGGUUUUAAUUAAUUUGUUUGAAUCUUAUUGGACCCCGGGCAAAAUUUGGGUCUUACAAUAUUAAUUAAAUGCUUACUUUACAAUUUCGUGUUUUACAAAUCACAUACUUAAAUUGUCUAUGUUGUAUCGUUUUAUUAAAAAAAAAAAAAACUCUCCCACAACAAGAUGUUAUGCAUACCGAAUGGUGAGAACGAUGUAGAGGAUUCAAGAAAAGGGUAAAUUUUGGGUACACAAAUGAUAAUGUUGGCACUAGAGGUGUCCAUGGGCCGGGCUCGGGCCGGGCCCAACAAAAAAUUUCAGCCCGCUUCCUAGGCUCGGGCCCGGCCCGGCCCGAAAUAUGGGCCUGAGAUUUUGCCCAGGCCCGGCCCGGGAAAAAAAUAUGGAACCCGAGCCCGGCCCGGCCCGCUUUUUAAUUAAAAUUAAAAUUAUAUUUUUAUUAAAAUUAAAACUAAUUGUUAUUAAAAUUAAUUGUUAUCAAAAUUAAUUAUUAUUAAAAUUGUAUCAAAUUAUAUAUUUUUUGUACCAAUCAACAUUUUGUAAAAUCUAACAUUUUGUUAGUAAAAUUAUUAAUUGUAUUAAUUGUUACUAAAAUUAUCAAAUUAUAUCAAAUUAUUAAUUAUUAAUUGUUACUAACAUUUUGUUAGUAAAAUUAUUAAUUGUUAAUUGUAUUAAUUAUUAGUAAAAUUAUCAAAUUACAUCAAAUUAUUAAUUGUUAAUUGUAUUAAUUGUUGUAACAAAAUCUAAAAUUUUGUAACUUAAAAUAAAACUAAAACUAGUAUAUUUUAAAAAUAAAAAAUAUAUAUUUAAUAUAUUUUCGGGCCGGGCCCGGGCCAAAAAAAUCUUGCCCGAGGCCCGGCCCGUUUUCUAAACGGGCCUCGUUUUUUGCCCAAGCCCAUACUUCGGGCCUAUAUUUUUACCCAAACCCUCCCAUAUUUCGGGCGGAGAUACAACCCAAUGCCAUCAAUAUUUUCCCAACCAUUGAUUUUGAUGCGUGAGUUUUGUAAAUCAUUCCAUUCCUUCAACCACAACAUAGAAUUCAAGUAAUACUUGAGCCGCUGCAUAGCUGUUAAGAACUAGGGGUUUAACAUAGCUGGUUCGAGUAUUCACUUGUAAGAGAUGACAUUUAGCAUGUCUAAGGUGUUACAAACUUAAGAAAAAGAAAAAGGAAUGAAUUUCUUCGUAAAAGAAAAAAUAUUACUGCUUAAUUUUCAAACUUUGUUUUUGGAAUUUUGGAUUACCCAAUCCAAGUUCAAUGUAAACCUUAUGCAUAAAAAAUACAAUAUAUAAUUGGUCACACCAACACAACGAUCCAAAAAAACACUCACAUAUUUUAAUAAUAAUUAUAUUUAUCUAAAUAAUCAUAUCUCUUAAUUAUUAAUCAAUAGAUACAAUUAUACUUGUUUUAAUAAUUAAAAAAAAAAUAACUUUUCACCAAUAACUGGUCAGCUAUAAUUUGGAACGUUUCCAUUUGGUCAAAUUUCGUAAUUAAACUAAUUUGCUGAAGUGAACAAAGCGUUAUAGGCAGUGAUGUUUGUUAAGUUCUAAUAUAAUAUAAAUUUAUGUAAUAAUAUUCAUACAAAAUAUAAUUAAAAUAAUAUUUAUUCUAUGAAAUUAAUUUUAAAUAUUUUAAGAAAAAUUUAAAAGUUGAAUUCAAAGUAGAAAUAAAUAUAUAAAAAUAAUUUAAGAAAAAUUUGAAGUCAAAUUCAAAAUAUAAUAAUAUAAACAAUAAAAAUAUAAUCUUUCUAUUUAAAAUUUCUAAAGUCAAUUUAGUCUUAGUCAUCCUCAUUCUAUGUUUUCUUUUUUUAUUGUUAGUGUCAGUUUUUCUAUCUAACUCCGUAAAUAUAUUAUUGCAAGACUUGCAUUGUCUUGUACCAUUCGAGAUAACAUGCAGCACUUGAUGAAAGUCAUUUCCAAAAAAAUUUUAUACUAAGUGGUAGAAAGAGUCAAAAUUGGUUGCUCAUUCUUUCAAUAAAUCCCUUAUUCAUAGGUCUAAUUAACUUUUGUAACUUCAAAGAACAUCAGCAUUAGCCAUUAUUUUAUUAUAAGGCCAACACUAGUCUUAAUUUUUUCUAUUUUCAAAUAAUACUUGAAUUCCCCAUCUCACGUUAUGUUAUUGACAAAAAUAUUUUAAAAGUUUUUAAGUCCAAAACUUAGUUUGAAUUACAAUUGUCGAAAUCUUUUUUUUUAAAAAAAUGGGGUCGACUUGGAUUUUGAAAACGAAACGAAUAUAGAAGUCGCCAUCAAUCUUUUUUGAUGAUGUGUGAUCGGGUCACCUCGUAAAGUGGUUGUUUUUAAUAAAUGGUUUAGAUUUAUUAAAACAAUGUUUUUGGUCUGCGAGAUUCAAAAAAAUGGGUUCGGGAGUCGGUCACGUACAAGGAAGGAUUAGCACCCUCAUAACGCCCAAAAUUGGUACCUAGUUGAUUAAUUAGUGUCUUAGUGUCGAAAAUUGAAAACUUUAAAGAGAUUUAAAAUCCGAUCAUUUGCUAAAAUAUUGAAAAUUUUCAAGAAAGAGCAUAUUUCACGUUAAUCAAGAAAGAGAAUUAUGUCCCGUAAGGUAGGAUACAAUGUCUUAAAUUCCCGAUACGAGAAUAAAUACCGAAAAAUUCACUUAUUUGAAAGAUAUUCGAUUAUCUCGGUUUUAAAAAAAGAUCAUAUUCCGUAAGUUAGAACACGAUCUUUUAUUAAUUCCCGAGAUUAUUAAAAAUUUAUGCUUAAAAAGGUUCGUGUAUUUGGAUUUGUCGAGAAAAUCGAAACCCCGUAAGUUAGGGCACGACCUUUUCGAAUCUCAAAAUACGAAGUUUUACUUAUUUUAAAGUCAUAAUUUAUGUAUCGAGUAAAAUUAAUGUAACACGAAUUGGUAGAAAUAAAGUACGGUGUUAAUAUGUAUAACGAAAAAUAAUAAAUGCGAUAAAAUAAAUAUAAAUAAUAUGAGUGAAAACAAAAAUAAGAUAAAUAAAUAAAUAAAUAAGGACAAAUCAAUUAUGUAUAUACAAUAACAAGUAAAUAAAAAAUAAAACAUUUUUAAAGAAUAAUAAUGGACACAUAAAUAAAUAAGUAAAUUAAUUUAAUAAUAAUAGUAAUAAAAUAAAAAUAUAGAAACAAAAAAAGUACAAAAAAAUAAAGAUAGUUUUAAACACUAAAGUACCAAUAAAUAGUAACUAUGUAUUUAAAAAAAAUAGUAAAAAUAUGAAAGUAAAAUAAAACAAAAUCUAUAUAAAGAAAAUAAUAAUAGCAUAAUAAUAUUACAUUAAUUAAUUUAAUAAAGAAAUAGCCAAAAUAACAAAAAGGACUAAAUUGAGCUUUAAAACAAAAUUUUGGGGCAAAUCAGAAAUAAAUAAAAGGAUAAGGGCUAAAUUGGAUGAUCAAAUAACAAGGAGGGACCAAAUGGGAAAUAUUCCCUAUCCUCCAAAACGCGCAGUUCCAAUAUGGACUAAAAUGAAACAGGUGCAAAAAUUACGGGGUAAAAUUAAAAGAAAAAAGGCAAAGAGGACUAAAUUAAAACAACCCAAAAAUGCCGAAGGACCAAAAGAGUAAAUAACCCUUUUUACACAAAAACACGCGGAUCCUCCUGGAUCGGGUCGGGUCACGCGCGGGUUGGCCCCAAAACGAUGUCGUUUUGGCGGCUGAAGCUAUGGCCCAAAACGGCGCCGUUUUACAUGCCUAUAUAAAUCAAUUUUUUUAAAAAAAAAACUUCAUUUUUGCCUUCUCUUAAAAAAAAACUAAAAUCUCUUCUCUCUUUUUUUCAAAAUCCUCUUCACCCUUCCCAGAAUCCGGCCAUCGGCCGCUGCGCCCACCGCCGGCCACCGGCGACGGUGCCACCAUACAUGAUGGCCGGAAGUCCAAAAGGUACGCUUUUUUAUAUAUUUUUUUUGCUAUAUAUACAUAUAUAUAGUUUUUUUUUUUAAAAAACAAAACAAAAGUAAAAAAUAAAAGGUUUCAGAAACUAAAAGAAAAAAAGGAGAGACAUUUUGCUCGCUCUCUUGUUUUCCUUAAAUAUGCUUGUAAGACCCAAAUUUCACCCGGACCCAUACCAGCAAAACAAAUACAGAAACCCAAUAACCUAGACCAAAACCCAAAGCCCAACAAAAUAAGCCCAAACCCGAAUCAGGCCUAAAACAAUUAGUCAAACUAGGGUUUCAGCUUUUCUGAAAGCCUAGUGCCGCCGCCGUCAUCACAUCAACAAGGCAAGUGGUGCGUUUUCCCUUUGCCAUCGACCUACCCACUGCCACCUGCUCCAUCAACGUCAAAUACCUGUAAACAAGCAAGAAGAAGAGGGGUAGCAACAACAGUAGAAAAUAAAAAAUUUUGUAACAAAUCAGCUAUAAAAAGCCGAAGGUAAUCUCUGAAAAAGGGUUUUUUUUAUGAACAUCAGAGCAUAAAAAGCAACAUUUUAGAGGUGAUCCUCUACUGUUCUUUCAAUAUUAGUUUGAUUUUUUUUAUUUGGUCUUUUUUUGUUUCUUUGUUAUUUAAAUAAUAAAAUAAAAAAUGGAAAAGGAGGACUCACCGGGGAACCCUUGUAACCACAUCGCCGGAUGGGGUCUACGCCACCGUUGGGGCCGCAUCCGAAAGGAGGCUGGGGCUCUCCUCUUGCGUUUCGGCGUUGAGAGGGUUCAACCCCUGAGAGCGCUGUGAAACGAAGGCUAAAAAGCCCAUUUUCUCCAUCGCUGUCCCCGGCCAUGGCGGUCGGGCGGCGGACGGACGGUGGAGCCUUAGGCCGAAAAGGGGUGGGGGUGAGAGAGAGAUGGGGAUUUUUGAAUAUUUUUUUAAAAAAAAACAUAGCAGAAAUGAGGCUAUUCAGAAAAUUUUGGUAUUUAAGGAGGCAUUAAAUGGCAUCGUAUUUGGACUUAGGGUUUAGAGGCCAAAACGACGUCGUUUUGGCCUCUGACCUGCGACCCGACCCGAUGGCCCUGAGGAUUUGUGUGUUUUCGUAAAAGGGGCUAUUUGCGCAAUAGGCCCCUUCGCCUUUGCAAAGUUUUCGAUGCGGUCUUUGUUGCAUUUUCUAAUUUUGGCCACAUAAUUUUGUUUCUUUUUUUAUUUGGUCCAUAGACCAUGCAUAGGUGCCUCCUUGGGGCGACGCCGUUUUGCCGACAUGGGAUAUUUUCCCAAUUAAUCCCCACUUUUCUUUGGGCAUUUGAAAUUGGUCCCUUUAUUUAUUUAUAUUUUAAUCUAUCCUGCUAAUUUAGUUUAAGCUACAAUUAAGCCCUUUUUAUCUUAAUUCUUUAUUUAUUCAUUUAUUUAUUUGUUUGCUUAUUUAUAUCUUUAUUUAAAACUUUGUUAUACACGUACAUACACACAUUUUUAUAAUAUACAUACGCACAUAUAUUUUAUGUUUUAUAUAUUUAUACAUACAUAUGUUUUUUAUAUUCUAUAACUUUAAAAUAUAUGUAUAUAUACAUGCAUUCUUCUAAUAUUUAUGUGUUUUACAUUUUAUAACUCCUAUAUAUAUACAUACAUAUAUUCUUUUUUUUUGUAUAUACUUUAUAAUCUUAAAAUAUACGUAUACUUAUACACAUUUUAUAAUACAUAUAUGUACAUAUAUUUUAUCAUUUAUAUAUACAUAUAUAUUUGUUAUAUUUUUGACAAUUUUAAAAUAUAUAUAUAUAUAUAUAUGCACACAUAUUCUUAUACUCUUUAUAGUUUUAUUAAAUUUAUUUAUUGCAUUUUUGUUUCACUCGAUGUUAAUUUAUUUAUUUGCGUAUAUGUUCGUUAUUAUUUGAAAGGAAUGCCUUAAUUAUUCAUCUAUUUAUUUGAUGUGAUAUGAUCGAUUUGUCUCUCCUAUUAUUUAUCUCGUUUACUAUGUCGUGCGUAUUAUUUAUGCUUACAUUAUCGUGUUCAUCAUUGUUUGCUACGCACAUUAAUGUCAUGCUCUACUAUUCGGAGUUAGAUUAAUUUCAAUGCAUAAAUUACGAUUUUUUGAAUAAGCAAAAUCUCGUGUUUAGAUUCGAGAAGGUUGUACCCUAACUUACGGGGUUUCGAUUUUCACAAUAAAUCUAAAUACAUAAAUCUUUUCAAACUCAAGUUUUAAACGAUCUUGGGAAUUAAGAAAAGAUUGUGUCCUAACUUACUGGGCAUGAUCCCUUUUUUUUUUAAUCCGAGAUAGCUAAAUAUCUUUUAAAUAAGUAAAUAUUUGACAUCUAUUUGCGCAUCGGGAAUUCAAGACAUUGUAUCCUAACUUACUGGAUAUAAUUUUCUUCCUCGAUUAACGUGAAAUAUGCCAUUUUCUCGAAAAUUUUUAACAUUUCAAUAAAGGAUCGUAUUUUUAAAAUUCUUCAAAAUUUUUAUUCUUCGACACUAAGACACUAAUUAAUCAACUAGGUACCAAUUUUUGGGCGUUACGAGGGUGCUAAUCCUUCCUCGUACGUAACCGACUCCCGAACUCGUUUUCCUGAAUUUCGUGGACCCAAAAUCAUUGUUUUAAUAAAAUUAAUUUGUUUAUUAAAAACAACCACUUUUUGAGGUGGCCCGAUCACACCUCAUCAAAAGAGAUUGGUGGCGACUCCCAUUUUCGUUUUCAUUUUCAAAAUCCAAGUCGACCCCGUUUUACAAAAGAAAUGGUGUCAACAAUGCUUUUGUUGCUUUUUGUUCUUUUGUAUAUUUGAAUUUUUGUAUUCAAAAAUGAAAAUUCCUAGAGAGAUACAAUGUUCUUGCUUGGCUUCUUUUAUAGCCAUUUUACACGAUUUUUUUUAUUUCUUGCGUUCACUGUCUUUUCUCUUUGAUGUUUUACAGGUGGCGGUGAAAGUGGAGGGCUUUGACCGACGUGACAGUGGAGAUGGCAACAGGCUAGGAGACCUAGGUGAGGCGCACCUAGGGUUAGGGGGUAUUAGGGUUUUUUGAUGAUUUUGGGCUAUUGGGCUUAAUUGGGUUUUAAUUUUUGUAUUUGGUUUUGUUUGAGUUUUAUUGGGCCUCGGGCAAAUUGGGCCUAUUACAGCUGCCCCUCUUUACUCAUUGUCGUGUAACGGGAAUGGAGCAAAAACUUCAAAAAGAGCCAAUUUUGCCCAAUUUAGCCAAAUCUUGACUUAUUGGUGCUUUUCUUCUUCGGUAGCUUCAUUCCAGUCCACUGCGUCUUGUUACUUCGAUCCAUUCCACUACAACUUCAGAGGAUGAGAUUUGUGGUUUUAGUCUGCUCCACUGCAAUGUUAGGGAGAUAAGACUUGUAACUCCAACCUGCUCCACUGCAAUUGUAGGGAGACCAGAUUUGCUGUCUUCAACCUGCUCCACUGCAACUUCAGAGAGAUAAGAUUCACUAUCUUCAGUCUACUCCACUACAACUUCAGGGAGAUAAUAUUUUAUAUGAUCUGCUCUACUGCAAUUUUAGAGAUAUUAGAUCUGCAAUUUAUAGCUUCAAUCUGUUCCACUGCACUUCAGGGGAAUAAGAUUUGCUAUCUUCAGUUUGCUCCACUGCAACUUUAGGGAGAUAAGACUUACUAUGGUAGAUUUAAUCCGACCUACUGCAACUUUAGAGGUAUAGGAUUCAUCGUUUUAAUCCGCUCCACUGCAACCUUAAGGAGAUAGGAUUAGUAGCUUCAAUCUACUCCACUGCAACUCUAUAAUUACAUCAAUCUCAAAACUCUAUAUUUUUAGAUUUAAUAGCAAAACAAAUAUACAUAAAUAUAAAAAUUUUGUAGGUCUAAUUAACUUUUGUAACUUCAAAGAACAUCAGCAUUAGCCAUUAUUUUAUUAUAAGAUAAGGCGAAAUAUGUGACUGCCGUGUAGGGCCAAACAACCAUUAUUUAAUGAUGAAGUCUUAAUUUUUUCUAUUUUCAAAUAAUACUUGGAAGUCCUCAUCUCACGUUAUUUUAUAUAUUGACAAAAAUAUUUAAAAAGUUUAAGUCCAAAACCUAGUUUGAAUUACAAUCAUUAAUAAUUAUUAUAAUAUUUAAAAUAAAAAUAAAUAAAUGAUAAUUAUUUAAUUUAGGGGUAAAUAUAUAUUAAAAUUUUCUUAUUAAUAAAUAUCUACUUAAUUUUUUAAAAGAUCCCUCAAAACCAAUAAUUUGAUCAUCAAACCCACCCUUUUAUUUUUCAAUAUAAUCAUAUUUAAUUUUUAUACUUUUUGUAUUCUAAAAUUUCAAUCUUAAUUCAAAAAAUAUCUGCUAAAUUUAUUAAUAAAAACAACAUAAUUUCGUUUAAUAUUAUACGUUAAUAUCACAUUAUGUGUGAUAAUAUAUUUAUUGUAUAAAAUUAUUUAAAAUUAAAAUAUAAAAUAUAAAAUCUAAAUUUAUAAAAAUAGAAACCUAUAACAUAUUUUAACUUAAUUCUAAUAUGAAAUUUCAACCGUUGUUUUGUGAUUAUUUGUUUUCUAGCCAUUGUUGAUUAAUUGCAUUUCAUAAAUAUAAAAAUUUGAAUUUUUGAUAUUUGUACUAUUUUUAUCAGUUUAGUCCCUAUAUUUUUAUUCUAUAUAUCCCGCUAUUUCAAUCUAAUUUUCUGUUAAAAAAAUUAAACCAAAAUAAUGACACGUUGUCACGUGUAAAAAGUUUAGAAAAUACUUGAAAAUUAAAAAGAUAUUAAAAAUUCAAAAAAAUUAUAAAAAAUUCCCCAAAUCCAAAAAUAUUAGAACUUAGAAUAUUUUAAAAUUUUAAAAAAUCAUAACUUUUUGAGUUUUAAUAUUUUUGUGGAAUUUAUAAAACUAUGAUUUUGUGGAAUUUAUAAAACUAUGAUUUUUUAAAAUUUAAUAAGUUUUUAGUUUUUCUAUAUUUUAAAAUUUUCAAGUGAAUUUAAAUAUUUUGACACCCGGGAGCAUGUCAUUGAUUGCUCUAUUUUUUUUUUUAACAUAAAUUUAAACUGGGUCGCGGGAAAGUUGAUAGAAAUUUUACAUUACGGUCCAAUUUAAAAGCAAAACAGCUCUGGUAUAUAAUAGAAUGCAAAGAAUUAAAGGAGUCAUAAGUCCAAAUACUAAAGAGAGUUGAGAGAAUCAAAAUGAGUGGCUUGAUGAAGCUUGUAAUUCUUGUCCCACGUUCUUUGUUCUUCGCAGCUUUAGUAAAGUUCCUUUAUGAUUACCUGUGGAGACCUCUCCGUAUACAGCAAAUGCUGAAUUCACAGGGAAUCAGAGGACCUCCUUACAGAUUCAUCCAUGGCAACAACAAAGAAGUUGCCAAAAUGAGACAAGAAGCGUUAAGCAAGCCUAUGGCUUUGAGGCAUGAUAUAUUUCCUAGAGUGCAGCCACAUAUUGACACCUGGAUCAACAAAUAUGGUAAGAUCCAUGCAUGUUUUUCACUAUGAUUUCUAAAUUCUAGUUCUAAGAAAAGAUUGACCCUUUUGAUUAUUUUAUUUGGUCAGGGAGGAAUUAUCUUUCUUGGGAUGGUGUUCGAGCUGAACUUGUGAUUUCAGAACCUGAACUAAUCAAAGAGGUUCUAAAAAAUAGUGAAAAAGCUUUUCCCAAAAGGAAGCUUACAGUUUUCCUUAGCAAGUUAUUAGGGAACGGGCUUGCGACAGUCGAGGGUGAAAAAUGGGAGAAGCGACGGAAGUUGGGGAAUUAUGCUUUUCAUGGGGAAAGCUUAAAGGUGAAACACUCGUAACAUGUGAAUUAGUUCUCUAAAUGUUGCUUACAUAUGUUGUUGCUUACAUGUUGAUGGAUUGUUUGUCCAGAACAUGACACCGGCAAUAAUUGCCAGCGUUGAAACAAUGCUAGAAAAGUGGAAAGGCUAUGUGGGCAAAGAGAUUGAAGUGUUUGAAGAAUUUAGAUUAUUAACUUCAGAAGUGAUAUCGAGAACAGCUUUUGGUAGCACUUACUUGGAAGGGCAGAAAAUUUUUUACAUGUUGAGCAAGUUGGCAAUAAUUGCGAACCGAAGUUUUUUCAAGACCAGAAUUCCUUGGAUCAGGUAUGUUCCCUCUAAGCUUAAUUUAUCCCUAAUUUAAAAUUGUUAAUUCCCAUGGAUUUCGGGGUUUUUUUUCCAUAUAUAGAGCUAACCUUGGUUUCCUUUCACAGCAAGUUAUGGAAAUCUGCUGAUAUUCUUGAGUCAGAAGAACUUGCAAAUGAAAUACAGGGUUGUGUGAUGAAGAUGAUUAAGGAAAGAGAAGACAGAGUUGUGAAUGGAGAAGCUGAUAGCUUUGGCAAUGAUUUUCUAGGAUUACUUGUAAAUGCUUAUCAUGAUUUGGAUGACAAAAACAUGCUUUCAUUGGGAGACUUGGUAGAUGAGUGCAAAACAUUCUACCUUGCUGGACAAGAUACUGUUAAUGGCUUGCUUGCAUGGACAGUCUUACUUUUAGCAAUCCACGGAGAUUGGCAAGAGAAAGCAAGAAGAGAGGUGAUUGACAUAUUUGGUAACCAAAAUCCACAUCCUGAAAGCAUUGUCAAACUCAAAAUUGUAAGUAAACUAUCAAACCAAUUCAAUAUAUAUCUUGUCUUCCAUGGAUUUGAAUAGUGACAGCAACAUUAAAUUAUGUGAUGUAAUCUGACAUAUUUCUAUUCUACAAACAGAUGACCAUGAUCAUUAAUGAAACUUUAAGAUUAUAUGGUCUACAAAAUGGCAUAAUAAGAGAAGUUGGAAGAGAAGUUCAGAUUGGAAAUCUAGUGUUACCUGCUAAUAUAGAUCUUUAUAUUGCAAAUGUUGUACCUCAACAUGACCCUCAACUAUGGGGAGACGAUGUCCAUCUUUUUAAACCAGAGAGGUUCGCAGAAGGAAUUGCCAAAGCUACCAAUUACAAUGCAGCUGCAUUUUGUCCGUUUGGAAUUGGACCUCGGUCUUGUGUUGGUAUGAGCUUUGCAACCAUGGAAACAAAGAUUGCACUCUCCAUGAUUCUUCAACGCUAUACCAUUUCUCUCUCCCCUGCUUAUGUCCACGCGCCAAUAUCUGUUCUCGGCAUUCAACCAGAACAUGGAAUUCAAGUAAUACUCAAAUCACUGGACAGCAGUGUUUAAUGUACAUGGUUGCUAUGAAUUCAGGGUUUAACCUUUCUGGUUUAUGAAUUCUUCUUUAAGAGAUUGCAUUUAAUAUGUUAAUUAAAUGCUUACUCUACAAUUUCGUGUUUUACAAAUCACCUACUUAAAUUGACUAUGUUGUGUCUUUUUAUUAAAAAAUAAAACUCUCCCACAACAAGAUGUUAUGCAUACCGAAUGGUGAGAACGAUGUAGAAGAUUCAAGAAAUGAGUAAAUUUUGGCUACACAAAUGAUAAUGUUGGCAUCAAAGGACGGAGAUACAACCCAAUACCUUCAAUAUUUUCCCUACCAUUGAUGGUAACAUUUGUGACUUCUUGAUUUUGAUGCGAGAGUUUUGUAAAUCAUUCCAUUCCUAUUAUUAUAUAAUACUACACAUGAUGCUACAAUUGUAAGGUCAACAAGUAUUACUAUUUGAAAGGUAGUACAUUUCAGACACGUUUUGUGAUUUUUAAAAUUCAUCAAAAUUAUAAUAUUUUUAUUUUAAGAAUAUAAGAGUGAGUCGUUGUAGAAUAUUUAAAAAAAAAACUUAAAAACACCAUUUAAGUCGAUUCUGAUGCAGAUUUUCGUUAAAGUUUAAAGAUUCCCAAUUGAUUUCUUAGGAGAUUAAAAUGAGUUUUUUUUUCCUUCGGUUAUACUGUAUCUAGGAUGUUUUUAUUUUCAAACAUGAACUAAUUUUCUAAACACCUAGGGAGAUGAACCCUAUGAUGAAUUCUGUUGUUUGAUUUUUAUUUUACGCAAUAAAUACUUAGUUGUUUAUUGUCAAUUAUGUGUGCCUAAUUCUUAGUUUAAUAUUUCCAAAUUAUUUACCUAAAUCAAAGGAGACAUAUACCCCUUUUAAGAGUAAAUCUUGUGUAAUUGAGUGGAGUUGCAUGUAAUCCUAGAAAUAGGACGAAAUAAACCUACCAGAUUAGAGUCAAAUCUAAUAAGGGAAUCCAUAGCACGAGUUAAUGCGAUAAUAGGAUUUUUAAUUAGAAAGAAAUUUCAAUUAAUCAAUCUAAAGUCAGUUGCUCUUACUCUCGAAAGAGAUAUUAGCAUAAUUUAAGGAUUUUUACAAAUCAAGUUACUAAGUAAAGAAAUUACGUAAUUUAGAUUGAUAGCGACCGAUGAAAGCUAGGUGAAUUCUUUCCUAGGUAUUGUUUCCCUUCUUGGUUGUUAAUAGUUUAUUUUCUUGAUUUGUUAUUUGUCGUUUUCGUUAAUUAAUUUAGUUAAUUUUAGUUUUUAAUCAAUCACUUAUUUAUUCAGUUAAAUAGUAGAAAAACGAUAAUUACUAGUACUUUUAGUCUUCCUGGAAACGAUAUCUUUACUCACUAUAGCUAUAUUAUUAAUUGAUAGGUACUGCACUUACCUCAAUCAAAUUUUUAGUUAACUCACGACGCAUCAUUUAUUAAAUAUUAAUUGAUAGGAGAUCAAAAUCAAAGUUUGUUUUUGGAAUUUUGGAUUACCCAAUCCAAGUUAAAUAUAAACCUUACGCAUAAAAAGUACAACCAACACAAAUAGUAACAUAUUUUAAUAAUAAUUAUAUUUAUCCAAAUAAUCAUAUUUCUUAAUUAUUAAUCAAUAGAUACAAUUAUACUUGUUUUAAGAAUUAAAAGAAAUAACUUUUCGCUAUAAUUUGGAACGUUUCCAUUUGGUCAAAUUUCGUAAUUAAACUAAGUUGCUGAAGUGAAGAAAGCGUUAUAGGCAGUGAUGUUUUGUGUACGUGAUUAUUGUUAGGUUUUAAUAUAAUACAAAAUAAUAUUCAUUCUAUUAAAUUAAUUUUAAAUAUUAAAAAUAAAAUAUUUUAAGAAAAAUUUGAAGUCAAAUUCAAAAAUGUUAAUUUUAUAAUAUAAACAAUAAAAUACUUAUAGAAAUCUUUCUACAUCUUAAUUUUUCUAUUUAAAAUUUCUAAAGUCAAUUUAGUGUUAGUCAGAUAUGUUUUUUUAUUUGUAAAGGAUCAUCUUCAAUUACACAUUCUUCUUUAUAUGUCUUCUUUUUGCAAGACUGGCAUUGAUUGUUUCUACUCUUGUACCAUUCGAGAUAACAUGCAUCACUUAAUAAAAUAUUAAUAGUUUUACAAAUUUCGGUGAUAAAAAAUCUCAAGUUAGGUGACAUAACUACAAAUUUUCAAAAAUAAAAGGACCAAAAGUGUAAUUUAUUUAAAAUUAUGAUUAUUUAAAUAGUAUAUAUAACGUACGUCUCUCCUUUUUAUCGAAUAUAGCUUGUUCACGUAAUAAUAUAUAAUGAUGAAUGAAUAUAUAAUUGGGAGCAUCUCUUAUAAUUUAGAAGUAAAAAGGACAAAAUAGCGUCAAACAUCAGGUUGUAAUUCAGAAGCAAGAGCAGAAAAAUGAGUGGCUUGAUGAAGUUUGUAAUUCUUGUCCCAUCUUCUUUCUUCCUCGUAGCUUUGAUAAAGUUCCUUUAUGAUUACUUGUGGAUACCUCUCCGUAUACAGCAUAUGCUGAAUUCGCAGGGAAUCAAAGGACCUCGUUACAAAUUCAUCUACGGAAUCAACGAUGAAGCUACCCAAAUGACAAAGGAAGCAUUAAGCAAACCCAUGGCCUUGACGCAUGACAUAUUUCCCAGAGUGCAGCCACAUAUUUACUCAUGUAUCAACAGAUAUGGUAAGAUCUGUGCAUGUUCUUUCACUAUGGUUUCAAUCUUCCAGUUCUAAGAAAAGAUGAACCCUUUUUGUUUUUUGUUUGAUUAGGGAGGAAUUUUCUUUAUUGGGACGGUGUCCGACCUGAACUUGUGAUUUCAGAACCUGAACUAAUUAAAGAGGUUUUGAAAAAUAGUGAAAAAACUUUUCCCAAAAGGAAGCCUACCAUUUUCAUUAACAAGCUACUAGGGAACGGGCUUGUGACAGUGGAAGGUGAAAAAUGGGUGAAGCAGCGGAAGUUGGCGAAUAACGUUUUUCAUGGGGAAAGCUUAAAGGUAAACCCCUCGAAAUAUAUGGAUUAGAUGUAAACUAAUGUAAAAGAAUUUUAUAUUAUUGGAGAAUUCUUUGGGCUGGACAUGAGACCAGGAAUAAUUGCUAGCGUUGAAACAAUGCUAAAGAAGUGGAAAGGCCAAGUAGGCAAAGAGAUCGAAGUGUUCCAUGAAUUUAAAUUAUUGACUUCCGAAGUGAUCUCGAGGACAGCUUUUGGUAGCAGUUACUUGGAAGGGGAGAAGAUUUUUGAAAUGUUGAACAAGUUGUCAAUAGUUCUGAGCCGAAAUCUUUCCAAUACUGGAAUUCCCUUAUUCGUGUAUAUUGCCUCUAAGCUUAACUGAUCCCUCAAUUUUUCCAAGAUAUAGAGCUAACCUUGAUUUGCUUUUACAGCAAGUUACAGAAACCUGCUGAUAUGCUAGAGGCAGAAGAACUUGCAAAAGGAAUACAGGACUGUGUGUCGAAGAUUGUGAAAACGAGAGAAGACAAAGUUGUGAAGGGAGAGGCUGAUAACUUUGGCAUUGAUUUUCUAGGAUUACUUAUAAAUGCCUACCAUGAUACGGACGAAAAUAACAAACUUUGAUUGGAAGACUUGGUAGAUGAGUGCAAAACAUUUUACUUUGCUGGACAAGAUACUGUUAAUUCCUUACUUGCUUGGAUGGUCUUACUUUUAGCAAGUCAUGGAGAUUGGCAAGAGAAAGCGAGAAGAGAGGUGAUUGAGAUAUUUGGUAACCAAUAUCCAAAUUCUGAAGGCCUUUCUAAACUCAAAAUUGUAAGUAAACUGUCAAACCCUUUCAAUACAUUGUGUAUACCCGGCAUUUAAAUCAAAGUCAUAAAGGCUGUUAGUACAUAAAAAAUCCUGGUCUAUACUCUUUAGUCUACUCUGACAUAUUCCUAUUCUGCAAACAGAUGACCCUGAUUAUUAAUGAAUCUCUAAGAUUGUAUGGUCCAGCAGUUGGCCUAUUGAGGAAAGGUGGAAGUGAAGUUCGGUUAGGAAAUCUAGUCUUGCCUGCUGAUAUAGAUAUUCUUAUUGCAAAUGUUGCACUUCACCAUGACCCUCAACAAUGGGGAGAUGAUGUGCAUCUUUUUAAGCCAGAGAGAUUCGCCGAAGGGGUUGCCAAAGCUACCAAUUACAACACAGCUGCAUUUUGUCCCUUUGGAUUGGGACCUCGAACUUGUGUUGGUACAACCUUCGCACUCAUGGAAGCGAAGAUUGCAGUCUCCAUGAUUCUACAACGCUACACCAUUUCCCUCUCCCCUGCCUAUGUCCACGCGCCAGUAUCUAUUAUCACCGUUAAACCACAACAUGGAAUACUCGAGUCACUGCAUCACGAUGCUUAAACUACACGGCAGCUAAGGGCUCAGCGUUCAACUCAGUUUGCUCAUGUAUUCUCAUUUUAAGAGAUGACAUUUCAUAGAUCGGGGGCUUUUGCAUUAGCAGCCACUUCCCUAUUUAUGCGCUCCUUCGUGCAUAAAUAACUGCAAAUAUCUGCUCAUUUCCAAGAUGGUAAGGCAUGCAAUAAAUGAAAAUGAAACACAAUUUAUCAUUUUAAUAAUUUAUAUUUUUAAUUUUUAAAUGAUUAAAUUAAAUUUUUAUUAUUUUUUAAUGUUCAAGUUCGAACCUAAUUCAUAUUGUAAAUGAGACUAAUUUUUUUACCUAAACUCAUUUUUUGGGCUUAAUAUUUUUACUCAAAAUAUAAAUAGAUGAUAAUUAUUUAAUUUAUGAGUAAAUAUAUAUAUUAAAAAUGUAUUAACAAUAGAAGUAAUUAAUAAAAAUCUACUUAAUCUUUCAAAAAAGCCUCUCAAAAUCAACUAUUUGACCAAUAUACUAAUCAUUCUGUUCUUUAAUUUAAUCAUUUUUUAUACUUUUUGUGUUUUAAAAUAGUAAAUUUAUUAACAAAAAUAACAUUGUUUCUUUUAAUAUUAUAUAAAAAUAACAAGUUAAUGUUAUAUUUCGCACGAAAAUUUUGAAAUUUUAUUUUUAACAUAAUUUUAGUAAGAAAUUCCUAUGGUUGUAUUGUGAUUAUUGUUUUUGCAGCAAUUGUUGACUAAUUUGCAUUUGUGAUGACGCAUGGUAGAUGGCUCCCAAUAAAAUAUUCAUAAAUAUAAAAAAAUCGAGUUUUAUUAAGAUAAUUUUAAUUGAUAAAUUAUGUGUAAAAUAUUAUUUUUAGCCGAAGUAGGUGGUAUGCCAACUCAUUUUAGGGACCACAUGACCCCACUAUCCCAAAAAUCUAUUAUUUUUAAAUUUUUUAAUGUUCAUAUAAUCAAGAUGAUGAUUGGAUUAUCAAAACAUAUAUAUACAAUUUAAUUGCAAGAGCACAGAGUGUUAUUGGACAACAGUUAGAAGAGGUGAGAUUCUUGCACGUGUCCUGUAUACUCGGUGGGACUAAAUUGGAGCCUACGUUUAUUAGUGCUUUGCUAGAAAGAUAGAGACUCGAGACACACACAUUUCAUUUUCUGUGCGAUGGUGAUAUGAUUACACUUGAGGAUGUGAUAUUAGAACUUGGUCUAUUGGUUGAUGGGCCAAUAAUUUAGGGAAAUUUGAAUAAAAAUAAUACCAAACAUAUUUAGUAAUUUAGGGAAAUUUUAAUAGCUUCACAUUCUUCAGCCUAUAAAUAGUGGAUUCAUGUCAUGAGUUGCAGGUCAAAGCUCAUGAUGAAUGCACACAAAGCGUCUUAUGGAGGUCACCAAUUUUGGUUGACACUAGAAAUGAAAAGAAAAUGUAUAUUUUUUAUAAAAGAAUACUAGGUGGCAUUUUUUGAUUGGCCACCAAUUUUUUUAAUGUUAAAAAUUGGAUUAAAAUUUAUAACGGAUAAUACUUUAAGUACUAAAUUAAGUUAAAAAAACUUUAAGUACCAAAAUUACUGGUGAAUUAGACAAAAAUUAGUGGUGAGAAUGGAGGUUUAGAGAGAAAUAAUGCUUCAUUAUUUUAUUCAUUCCCAAUAAGCAUGGAUAUGUAAUCAGUACAUAAGUUAAAGAAACCGCAAAUGCCAAAAUCACUCAACACGUAUAGCCUCCUAGUUCAGCUGAUGCCGACGCUUUUAAGGUCAACAAGGAAAACAAUUUGGCAAGUAUGGUACAUUUCAGCAGGAAAGUUGCACACGUUUCUUAUACACACUUAUGAACUAUUGUAUGGAAAAUGUCUCACGAAUACGUCCAACCUACUUUGAACGAGAACGAGGAUUGCAAAUGCAAUUUUGCUCCUUCACCACUUUUGGAGUGCUCCUAAUGAUGCUAUUAUGAAUGGGAAAAUGGUUAAAGUUUAGAGACGAAAAAUGAGUGCCUUGAUGGAGCUUGUAACUCUUGUCCCAUGUUGUUUCUUCUUCAUAGCUUUAAUAAAGUUCCUUUAUGAUUACCUAUGGAUACCUCUCCGUAUACAGCAUAUGCUGAAUUCACAGGGGAUCAAAGGACCUCCUUACAGAUUCAUCCAUGGCAACAACAAGGAAAUCGCCAAAAUGAGACAAGAAGCAUCAAUCAAACCUAUGGCCUUGACGCAUGAUAUAUUUCCCAAAGUGCAGCCACAGAUUUACUCCUGGAUCAACAAAUACGGUAAGAUCCAUGCAUGUUUUUCACUAUGGUUUCAAUCUUCUAGUUCAAUUAAAAGAUGGACCCUUUUUUUGCUUUUUGUUUGAUUAGGGAGGAAUUAUCUUUUUUGGAACGGUGUUCGAGCUGAACUUGUGAUUUCAGAACCUGAACUAGUGAGAGAUACUAAAAAAUAGUGAAAAAACUUUCCCGAAAAGGAAGCCUACCAUUUACCUUAGCAAGCUACUAGGGAAGGGGCUUGUGACGGUUGAGGGUGAAAAAUGGGCGAAGCAGAGGAAGCUGGCGAAUUACGCUUUUCAUGGGGAAAGCUUAAAGGUGAACCCCUCGAAACAUGUGAUUAGUUGUAAACUAAUGUUAAAGAAUUUUAUAUUGUUGGAGAAUUGCUUUUGCAGAACAUGACACCAGCUGUAAUUGCUAGCGUUGAAACAAUGCUAGAGAAAUGGAAAGGCCAAGAAGGCAAAGAGAUUGAAGUGUUCCAUGAAUUUAGAUUAUUGACUUCAGAAGUGAUAUCAAGAACAGCUUUUGGUAGCAGUUACUUGGAAGGAGAGAAGGUUUUUGCCAUGUUGAACAAGCUGUCAAUAAUUAUGAGUCGAAAUCUUUAUAAUACUAGAAUUCCUUUGAUCAAGUAUGUUCCCUCUAAGCUUAAUUAAUCCCAAGUUUUUCCUUAAUUGUGUUUUCCACCCCCAUGAAUUUAUUUUUCUCCUUAUAUAUGGCUAACAUUAGUUUUCUCUUCUAGCAAGUUAUGGAAACCUGCCGAUAUGCUAGAGUCUGAAGAACUUGCAAAAGAAAUACAAUAUUGUGUGAUGAAGAUGGUUAAGAAAAGAGAAGACAGAGUUGUGAAUGGAGAAGCUGAUAGCUUUGGGAAUGAUUUUCUAGGAUUACUUGUAAAUGCCUAUCAUGAUUCGGACAAAAAUAACAAGCUUUCAAUGGAAGAUCUGGUGGAUGAAUGCAAAACAUUCUAUUUUGCAGGACAAGAUACUGUUAAUGCCUUGCUUGCCUGGACAGUCUUGCUUUUAGCAAUCCAUGGAGAUUGGCAAGAUAAAGCAAGAAGGGAGGUGAUUGGCAUAUUUGGUAACCAAAAUCCACAACCGGAAGGCAUUGCAAAACUCAAAACUGUAAGCAAACUUUCUAACCAUUUAAGACCGCACGCAUUGUGUUACAGUCAAUAUUUUGUAGUUUCGACUCUUUCUACAUUGAUAUUCAUUGCUAAUAUUUACCACAAUUAAUUGCGAUAACAUCCAUCAUAUACAACACUGCCAUAAUUUAAAUCCCCGGUGUAUGCUAGCAUGAGUUUAGAACAUUAGAUUAUGUGAUGUUAAUCUUAUAUAUUCCUAUUCUGUAUACAGAUGACGAUGAUCAUUAAUGAAACUCUAAGAUUGUAUGGUCCAUCAAAUGGAAUGUUGAGAAGAGUUGGAAGAGAAGUUCAAAUGGAAAAGGUAGUCCUCCCUGCUAAUAUAGAUAUUCUAAUUGCAAAUGUUGCACUUCACCAUGACCCUCAACUGUGGGGAGAAGAUGUGCAUCUUUUUAAACCAGACAGAUUUGCGGAAGGGAUUGCCAAAGCUACCAAUUACAAUACGGGUGCAUUUUUUCCCUUUGGAUUGGGACCUCGAACUUGUGUUGGUAUGACCUUUGCAACCACAGAAACCAAGAUUGUUCUCUCCAUGAUCCUACAACGCUAUGCUAUUACCCUUUCCCCUGCCUAUGUCCACUCACCAAUACCUAUAAUCAGCCUUAAACCACAACAUGUAAUUCAAGUAAUGCUCAAGUCACUGCAUAGCGAUGCUUGAUGUUUCAUCGCUGUUGUUAUCAACAAUCUGAAAAAGAUGGGUAUGAAUGCAUUUAAUACGUAUUAUCGAGUUAAGGGUUAUGAAUAGUUUAGGCAUUAAAUAAAAAUAAUCUACAUAACCAUUAGGAAUUUAGAGUUUAAUAAAAAAAAUUAUUUCAUGUCUAUUAUCUCUUCUUUUACAACCACUUUCUCCUUUUCUCUAUCUAAUAUGUGAUCUAAUUGCAAAUACAUACCAACCAAGUCCCCUUACGUACACAAUUUAUUAUCAAUUUAAUCCCUUUAUUUAAUUUCCUUUUCCAUUCAACACAUUUAAGUUAAAACAGUAGUGCUAUUUAAAUAACACGUUUUAUAUUAAUUUUAAUUGGUAAAUAAAUUCAUUAUAAAUUAUUUUAUUACAUAAUAAAUCUAUAAAAAAAUUUAUUUUUAUGUAAUAAAUAGAUAUAUAUUUAUUGAAAAAUUAAUAUAAAUUAAUAAAAUUAACAUUACAAGAAAAAAAUUAUUAUAAAAUCAUUAUAUAAAAUAAAUAUAAUUUUAAUAAACUUUAAUUAUUUAUUACUUUCAUAAAUUUCUAAUAAAUUGAAAUUUUAUGAUAUAAGUCUAAUUUAACAUUCUUAUUUUUUGCUCUCUUUAUUCUCACUUUAUUAUAUUACUACAAUUAAACACAUAUUUCAUUAUUGAUUUUAAUCUCAUUUUUUCAAUAAUUUAUCUCAAUAGAUAAAUUCUGUCCUUCUUAGUCAUUUGCAGACCAUGGGCCUACUCACACUUCUCCCUCAUAGCUGAUGUAGUUGAUACAGUGAAGUUGGCCGGGCGGAGCUGGGUACAACAAAAAAUCUAAUUCCGAUUCCAUUGAAAAAUAGGUUUAAAAUAUUACACAAGUUUAAUUUGGAUAAAAAUAUUAAAAUUUAAGUUCGAUUCAGUCUGCCCAUAUUAUCUUUUAUAUAUAUUUUUAAAAUAUAAUAUAUCAAAAAUAUUAAAAAUAUUAAAAUAAAUAUUUUCUAAUAAAUUGAAAAUAAAUUUUAAAAAAAUUGUGUAUACUUAAAUAACACUAAGAUAAGUGCAACUUAACAAACAAAUAUGAAAUACCUCUAAAAUAGUAACAAAAGUAAUAAUAAAACCAGAGUUAUACAAUAUCCAACUAAUAACAAAAAAAAUAAUAGCAACAUAAUUAUGAAAUGGUAAUAAAAUAGUGAAAAAAAAAACAACCAGAAAAUAGCAAGAAAAUAGUAAAAAAAAUGGCAGUUUCUUUUUUGCAUAUUCGGGCCGAGCUCUGGCAAAAAAAAUCUUACUCGAGACUUAAUCCGUUUUCUAAACAUGCCUUCUGUUUUUGCCAAACUCAUUUUUCGAGCCUAUAUUUUUACCUAAACUCUCUCACUUUUCAAGCAGACCUUCAAAUUGAACUGAAUAACCCGACUCAUGAACAAAUUUAAAGUAAAGGCCACCAAAAAAAAUAAAAAGGCAAGUUUGAGACUUUAAGGAGAGUGAAUUGUUGAGGGAGGUAGAGGUUAUAUACUAAGACUAUUUCUCUUAAUCGUAAUUAAAAUAUUCAAUAUUAAUAACAGUGAUUAAUCCUAUAAUUAAUCAUGAAAAAUAUUUUUUUAUGAGCGAAAAUUCAACCUCAAAUCACUUAAUUAAAGGUUAAAAGAAUAAAAUCAAUAUAUUAUGAUUGGAUACAAAAAAGAUAAAGCUCACAAAUAUCCAAAUACAAAGUUGAAAUCCACAUCAUCAACAUAUAUCAUACAACGGAUCUUCAAAGGAAUGAAAAUAUUAGUAUAUAAUGAAUAAAGAAAUCAAGGAAACCCCAAAUGCCAAAAUCACUCUACACGUACAGCCUCCAAAUGCAGCUAAUGCCGACACUUGUGUGUUGAGAUAGUAAAUGAUGUCGACAAAUGUCAAAAAAAUUAUUUAUUGAUGUAUAUGUAACUAUUUUUUUGUCAAGGUAAUAGCUAUAAAUAGUUAUCGACUCUGUAUGAUCAUUACGCUUCAAUUGGAUUAUUCUAUUCUAUCUCUUAGAACGAAAAGAACUUAAAUCAAAAUAUUUAGUAGCAUGGCGAUACAUUUAUACAAAACUUCUACCACGGGCGCAUGCAAUGGAGCCGUAGUCAGUCAAGUGAAAUCUAAUCCACGAAAUAAUUUGAUCUAUGGAUAGUAUUGUUAUGGUAAAGGUUGUAAUGCUAGAGGAAUCAUUACCGCAAGGCAUAGAGGAGGAGAUCAUAAGUAGGGUGAGCAAAACUCGAUUCUACUCGAAAAAAUUGAAAAAAAAAUUCGAAUUUCGAGUUAAACGAAUCAAGUUAUUCGAGUUAAUCAAGUUAUUCGAAUCAAGUCGAAUUUUUUUUCGAAUUUCGAAUUCGAAUCAAGUUGAGUUUUCGAAUUCGAAUAAUUCGAAUAUCAAACUAUAAUAUUUUACAUUUUUAACCCAAACUCCUAAACCUUUUUACUUUUCCCUCAAAACUUUUACUCCUUCCCACUUUCCCCCCAAAACUUUUACUCCUCUCCCCUCCCAACCCCCCAAUCUAUCCAAAAUCAAUUUCCCACCAAAAUUUUACUCUCCCAUUUACUUUUUCUCAAAAUUUUACUCCCAAAAACCCUCAAAACCUUUUAUUUUCCCCCAAAAUUUUUAUUCCUUCCCACUUUUCCCCUAAAACUUUUAUUCCCUUCCCAUCCCACCUCCCAUCUACCCCAAACCCUCCCCCCUCCAAUUUUUUUAAUAUUUUCCCUCCAAAAUUUUACUCCCCCUAAUUACAUUCCCUCAAACUUUUAUUCCCUAAAACUUUUUAUUUUCCCCCUAAACUUUUACUUUUCACCCUUUACUCUCAAAUAAAAAAUCAAAAUUAUCCAAAAAAAUCACUAAACAUAAAUAGUAAUAAUUUUAUUUAUAUCUACUAUUUAUAUUAUUAAAUUAAAUUUCACAUUUUAUAUUAUUUAUAUUAUUGAAUUAUUUAGUCAUAUUGAAUAUUUAUAUUAAAAUUGAAUUAUUAAUUAUGCCAUAAAAUAUUCGUGUUAAAAUUUUAUAUUGGUAUCAAUUUCACAUUUUAUUUUUAAAAUAACUUUUAUUAAAAAAUCAUAUUUUUACAUUUAAUAUAUUUUUAAUUCUAAAAUAUAUAGUGACAAGAAUCUGAAGACAAUUGAAACAACUAAGCAAGCAAAGAAGCUAACCAAUAUAUAAAAAAUUAAUAAAUAAAUUAUGAGGUGAUGAAAGUUAAUAAAAAAUUUGAUUAAGGUGGACAAAUUUUAUUACGAUAGGUGACAGUGGUUACAAGAACCCAAAAUUAUUUUUUAAAUUUUAACUCGAACAAAUAUAUUCGAUUCGAUUCAAUUCGAAUUUCAUCUCACUCGACUCGAUUCGAGAAAACUUCAAAUAAAGUUAGGAUGAUAAAAUGAGAUUCGAAAACUCGAUUAACUCAAAAAUUUUCUAUUCGAUUCGAUCGAAUGCUCACCCCUAAUCAUAAGCAUCUAUACUGUAAAAUUAAUCUUCGACGAAAUGGAAAAGACAUAUAUAAUAAAAUCGUAACCAUAAAAUACAACCCUAAUCGAAAUGCAUAUAUUUAUCUCAAUAUCUCUCUCAAUUCGAUCACUCUGUACAAUACUCAUUCAUAAGAAAAUGUUUUAUAUUUUGGAACUUAUUUUAUUUGAGUUUUUAUUAGUUAUCAUGAUUUGAAGUGAGAAUUAAUACUCGUAUAUUUUACAUCAAUUCGCUAAUGAAAAUUAAAUAAAUCAUCUUUUUUAAAAGAAGCAACGUUUAAGAAUUUUAUAAAAUGAAAAAUCAUUAAAUUCUUUAAUAAAUAUUUAUAUAAUAUUUUAUAUUUCACACCAUAAUUGAUUAUAAUGAUCUAAUCGAACAUGUCAGUCGAUUAAUAUAUUUAAAUAAAUAAAUUUCUAAUUUAUUAUACUAAUAUAUAUAAUAUUAAUGAAAACAAAUUGUCAAUAGAUACAAAUUGUCUAAUGAUACAAAUCUAGGACUUCAAUUGAAGAUGAUCUUCAAAGAUCAUGAAAGUCGCAUUCUGCACCAGUUGACUUUCACAAAUUAAUUAGUUGUUUACACGUUCAAAGUUGCUUCUUUUUUUAAAAAAAUAAAUAAGUAAAUUUCUAAUUUUAAAAUGAUAAAAACGAAAAAUUAGUUGUCAAGACCCUACAAAUUGAAUAAAAUAAUUCUAAAUCUCUCUUUUACUAUGCAAUAAUUGUCAACCUAAACUCACCAUAAAUAGAAAGCUAAAGGAGCAUUUCAAUUCGUUGUUGAGAGAAGAAAAAAAUGAGUACCUUGGUGAAGCUGGCAAUUCUUCUCCCAUGUUCUUUCUUCCUCGUAGCUUUGAUAAAGUUCCUUUAUGAUUACUUGUGGAUACCUCUCCGUCUACAGCAUAUGAUGAAUUCACAAGGAAUCAAAGGACCUCCUUACACAUUCAUCCAUGGAAACAACAAAGAAGCUACCAAAACGACAAAUGAAGCCUUAAGCAAACCUAUGGCCCUGAGACAUGAUAUAUUUCCCAGAGUGCAGCCACAUGUUUACUCAUGUGUCAACAGAUAUGGUAAGAUUCCAUGCAUGUUUUGCACUAUGGUCUCGAUCUUCUGGUUCUAAAAAAAGAAUGACCUUUUUUUAAAAAUUUGAUCAGGGAGGAAUUAUCUUGCUUGGGACGGUAAGCAACCUGAACUGGUGAUUACAGAACCUGAACUUGUCAACGAGGUUCUCAAAAAUAGUGUGACAACUUUUCCGAAAAGAAAGCCUACUUUUUUUCUCACUGGGAUAUUUGGGAACGGGCUUGUGACAGCUUUGGGUGAAAAAUGGGUGAAGCAACGGAAGUUGGCGAAUUAUGCUUUUCAUGGGGAAAGCUUAAAGGUAAAACUCUCCAAACAUGUGAAUUAGUUGUCUAAUUAAUCUUCUUAUAUGUUGGAGUAUUGAUUGUGCAGAACAUGACACCAGCUGUUAUUGCUAGUGUUGAAACAAUGCUAGAAAAGUGGAAAGGCUAUGUAGGCAAAGAGAUAGAAGUGUAUCAUGAAUUUAGAUUAUUGACUUCGGAAGUGAUAUCCAGAACAGCUUUCGGUAGCAGUUACUUGGAAGGGGAGAAGAUUUUUGACAUGUUGAACAAGUUGUCAAUAAUUAGGAGCCGAAAUCUUUUCGAAACUCGAAUUCCUCUGAUCAAGUAUGUUCCCUCUAAAAGCUUAUUUGAUCCCUCGGUUUUGUCAUAUUACUGACCUUGGUUUACUUUUACAGCAAGUUAUGGAAAUCUGGUGAUGUGCUAGAGUCUGAAGAACUUUCAAAAGGAAUACAAGAUUGUGUGAUGAAGAUUGUUAAGAAAAGAGAAGACAAAGUUGUGAAUGGAGAAGCCGAUAGCUUCGGCAAUGACUUUCUAGGAUUACUUGUAAAUGCCUAUCAUGAUUCGAAUAAAAAUAACAGGCUUUCAACGGAAGACUUGGUGGAUGAGUGCAAAACAUUCUACUUUGCUGGACAAGAUACCGUGAAUUCCUUACUUGCAUGGAUAGUCUUCCUUUUAGCAAUUCAUGGAGAUUGGCAAGAGAAAGCAAGAAGAGAAGUGAUUGAGAUAUUUGGUAACCAAAUUCCGAAUUCUGAAGAGAUGUCUAAACUCAAAAUCGUAAGUAAACUGUCAAACCCUUUCAAUAUAAUAUUUUGUUGCAGCUAUUAUUUAAUUUUUUUAAUGCAAUGUGACACGUUCCUUUUCUGGAAACAGAUGACCAUGAUUAUUUAUGAAACUCUAAGAUUGUAUGGUCCAUCAAAUGGCAUGAUGAGAAGAACUGAAAGUGAUGUUCAGUUAGGGAAGCUAAUCUUGCCUGCUAAUCUUGAUCUUCUAGUUAUACAUGCUGCACCUCACCAUGACCCUCAAUUAUGGGGAGAUGAUGUGCAUCUUUUUAAACCAGAGAGAUUCGCAGAAGGGAUUGCCAAAGCUACCAAUUACAAUGCAGGUGUAUUUUGUCCCUUUGGAUUGGGACCUCGAAAUUGUGUUGGUAUGAACUUUGCAACCACGGAAACGAAGAUUGUGCUGUCCAUGAUUUUACAACGCUACACCAUUUCCCUCUCCCCUACCUAUGUCCACUCACCAAUACCUUAUAUCACCGUUCAACCACAACACGGAAUUCAAGUAAUACUCGAGUCAUUGUAUAAUGAUGCGUAAUGUAACAUAGCUGCUAAGAAUUCCGAGUUUAAUUUAGUGAAAAAAUUAUUUUAUAAAAUUUAUAUGUCAACAAGUAAUUAUAUAAUGUGGUUAACAUAAGCUCCUUUCAAUUGGGAACCAACAAAGCUACCAAGUCACCAAAAUUUUGCUUAACAAAGUCUAACGAUUUAGCUUUUACUUUACUAAUAACAACACCCAACUUAUAACCACCACUUAUAACCACCAUUAAAGUAUAUGUAGAUAACAGAAGUAUUAUUUAAUAAUAAUUUGUUAAUAUUAUUUAAUAAUAUUUGACGUUGUUACAAUGUGUCGAGGGAACUGCCACUUCCUUCACCACUACGACAAAAUAGCUUGUCAUAUUUGAAAAUUUAACAAUUUAUUGAAUCGAAUCUUUGGACUAUGUUAAUUUUGUGGAAUGAUUUUAGCCUAUCAAUGAGAAUCAAUUCACUAAACAUAUUUUGAGAAUUGUAUCGGAUUGAGUACAUCAAAUCCAUUGGAUCAAAGAUGUUUGAUCGAAUCAAAAUUGGAAGACUUAUCUACCAACAAUCCAUUUUACUUUAGUUGUUAAUAUUAUAUUGUAUUCGACUAUUUUAGACAUACAAGAUUUUACUAAUUCAUCUUCAUUUGUCGAAAGAAGUCUAUCCUCAAAUUUCAACAAAUUUCCACCACUAGCCAUUUUCACAGUAUCUGAAUUUUAUCUCCACACUUUUUUUUAACAUUAAUCUUAUUAUACUUAAAACUAUCCAUAGUCCCUCCUCAACCCUUAGAUAGAAGGAUAAUACACUUCAGUGCACUCGAACCCACGCCCUGCUGCACUAACAACAAUACCGAUGCUAAUCGAGUUAAGACUCUGACCACUAAAAUAUCACCAUAAGCAUAAAUCUAUAAUCAAAUUUAUAAUUAAAAUACAAGUUUUUUACAAAUACUUUAUAAAAAAAACCAUACUACAAAAUUAAAACAAAGAAAAAGAACACAUAAAAAUAAGAAUAUAAUAAUAUUUAAACAACUAGUAAAAAAAAAUAUAUUUUUCAAACACUUAAAAAUAAUAUAUAUCAAUAUAACUACAAUAAUAUAAAUAAUAAUAAACUAACACUAAAAAUAUUUUUUUUACUUUAAAAAAAUCUAAUGUCUUAAAAAAACCCUAAAAAACAUAAAAGUAUAAAAAAGUAUAAAAUGCACAAAUCAUAAAAAUAUCUAACACUUAAGGUAGAUUUUGAUACAUCUAUAUAUAUGUUGUAAUUGAGAAAAUAGAAAACGAGAGAAGAAAAUGUUGGGAGAAUGAGCAGUUUGUGCAUUUAUAUAUACAAAAAUUUAAAGGAUUAAAUUGCAUAAGAAUUAAAACUAUUAUUCAACAAUAAUAAUAUACCCAAUUGCUUACUUACCACAAUUAUUUGGCCUGCAUGAUUAUUGUUUCAAGACCAUGCAUGCUUGUUGCCACCUUGCUUUUAUAUUUCUGCCAUGCAUGCUUGCUGCCAUUAUUUUUCUGCAUGCCAUGGUUGUUGUCACCCUUGCUGCCUCUUAUUUUUCUACCUUGCAUACCAUUAGAAUCCAAAUGAAGUGCGUUUUAAAAAUCUCUUACAUUUAAUCUUUACAGGCACCUGUCGAAAUCAAUCUUUAAUCCCAAUUUCAUUUACUCUUUCAAGACUGUCCCUUUAGAGAUUUUAUGAAGAGAAGGAAAAACAAUGGAAUUGUAAAGAUGGCACCCAUAGAAACCUUAGAAUGGUGGACGGUGCAACAGGGAUCGAGCGGGUCUCCCUUGUCAAUGAUGAAAUCACCUAUAUACUCUUUAAAGAUUUUAGGGCUCUUAGUUUCGUCCCCAGAAGAAAAAGAAAGAAAAGUAAACAGAUUGGUUUUAAGGUAUUGGGAAAGUCGAAUUAGAAUUUAAAUAUAUGUUUGUUUUCUUUAAUUUAACUUUUUUAUUUUUAAAUUUUAAUAUAUUUUUUAUUUUUAAAAUUUUAAUAUUUUUUAUAUAUUUUUUAAAUAAUAUUAUGACCUCUUUAUGAAAUCACCAUUUUCACAUGUCACGAUCUAAGAUUGUCACGUGUCUUGAAUAUCAAAAACAUUUACAAAAUAAAAAUUCAAGACCUAAAUUGAGAAAAAAAAUAUAAAUAUUAAUUUAGGAGAAAGUGAGAAAUACGAAGGCCAAAUAAGCCUAAUUAAUAUGAUUCCAUACAUCUUGAGGUUAAAAUAAAAUUCAAGGUUUACUUAAUUUUUUUAUAAAAAUUAUGUUAGGUCUAGUUAAAAUUUAAAAAAAAAUUAAAAGGUUUAAUGAGAUUGACAAAAAUUUUAGAGGGAUCUAUUAAAAACAUUGAAAGGUUUAAUGAGAAAUUCCAAAUUUGGGGCCUGAUUUAAUUUUUUUAAAAUUAAUGGUCUAAAAUGAAUUUCAAAAUUUUUCUAAGGUCAGGUCCUGCUUCGCAUUGGGUUGAUUAUUUAUUUUUUAAAACUAUAAAGAAAAAUUUAAAUGUUAAAAUAUGAUCUAAGACAUACACUUCGUAUAUUUGAAUUUUAGUCUUCAUAAUCUUAUUUUUAGAAAUUUAAUCAACUUCUUUUCGGAUUUAAAAAUUUAGGAUCUAUUAUUACCACUGUUAAUAUUCUUCUAUUAAAUUCAUUGGUGUGACGUUUUGGAACUUAGUUUCCAUACUCUUAUUUUAAAUAAUUUAAUUAUCUACUUUUCAGAUUUAAAAAUUCAGGACCCAUUAUUAUCACCGUUAAAAUUCCUCUAUUAAAUUCAUUGGUGUGACGUUUUGGAAUUUAAAAUAUAUAUAUAUUCACUUGGUCAUCAUGUAAUAAUAAAAAUAAAAUUGAAAAUACUAAAUAGAAUUUUUUUUUUCUUAAAAACACUCAUUCAAACUUUUCAGGAUGAAAUAAUUUUUUGGUGGAAAUAGCAUUCUUAAGAAACAUUGACAUCAACAUUUUGAUUGAAAUAGAUCAUAAUAUUAAUGAUUUAGACUCAAUAUUAACAUUAUAAAAAUAGAUGGGUCAAAUUAUGUUAAAAUUUAAAAUAUAUAUUAUUUUUUAAGUUUCAACAUAGUAUAGGGGUCAAACUGAAAAUUGACUAUAAUAUUAAAAAAAAAAAACCCCAAGGCAAACUUAAAAAGAAAGGUAAAACCAUGCUCAGUCUCUAAAACUGUUAGAGUAUUAUUUCAAUUAUACGUAACCAUUUAACAUUUUAAUAAAAAAUUAACUAUAUUAACUAUUCGAACUAAUUCAUAACGUUAUAAAAAUAUAAAUAGAAAAUCAAAUUAGAAAUUAAAGUAUAUAGAUUAAAUUUCAAAUUUAAAAAUAAUAGAACCACAAAUAAAAUUUAAUCAUUUUAUAAUAAAAAAGGGUGAUGAUGUUCGCCUGUGUUAACAAAAAAGUCCACAUAUAUAUAUACAAUCAACCCUCUUUAUAAUAACCGCCCUUAAUAACAACUAAAUUUUAUAGUAGAACCAAUUUUUUAUGUUUUAUUUUAACAUUCUAUAACAAUUUUUCACGUGUAACAACAAUAACCAUAGUUUUAAAGUACAUUAUUUAUUAAAUUUUUAAGUAAAAUUAGAGUUAUUUCAUAUAAACGAGCCUAUUAACUAUAAUUUAUUAAAUAAAAAUUAUCUUAACUAAAAUAUUUAAAUUCCACAUGAAAAGCCUAUUACUCAUAUUUUAUUAAAUGAAAAUAAUUUUUCAAUAAAUGAAAUGAAAUAUAUCUAUUGAAUAAACUAUCAAGUUUUCUCGUUCUUUUCUUACAAUAAUUUCUAUUUUUUUCAUUAUAUGAAUUAUUGCUGCCUCUCUAUAAAAAAUAAAAUUUUGACAGAUAAAUAAAGUUAUUAUAGAAAAAAGUAAUAACGGAACCAAAUACCUUAUCGAUUAAUUUUAAAAUGAUAUGCACCAGAAAAUAAUAUCCAAAGAACCUACAAAUUGGCAGGCAAAUUAAUAAAUAAAAUAAUUCUAAAUAUCUCUUUUACCAUGCAAUAAUUGUCAACCUAAAUUCACCAUAAAUACAAAUGCUAAAGGAGCAUUUCCAUUCAUUGUUGAGAGACGAAAAAUGAGUGCCUUGCUGAAGCUUGCAAUUCUUGUCCCAUGUUGUUCCUUCAUCGUAGCUUUAAUAAGGUUCCUUUAUGAUUACUUGUGGAGGCCUCUCCGUCUACAGCAUAAGAUGAGUUCACAGGGAAUCAGAGGACCUCCCUACAGCUUCAUCCAUGGAAACAACAAAGAAGCUACUAAAAUGACAAAGGAAGCAUUAAGCAAACCUAUGGCCUUGAGGCAUGAUAUAUUUCCCAGAGUGCAGCCACAUAUUUACGCAUGUGUCAAUAAAUAUGGUAAGAUUCCAUGCAUGUUGUUCUCACUAUGGUUUCGAUCUUCUAGUUCUAAGAAAAGAUUGACCCUUUUUUUUUUUUUUGAUUAGGGAGGAAUUAUCUUUCUUGGGACGGUAAUCGACCGGAACUAGUGAUUACAGAACCUGAACUUGCCAACGAGGUUCUCAAACAUAGUGUGACAACUUUUCCGAAAAGGAAGCCUACUGUUUUUGUCAGUAGGAUAUUUGGGAAUGGUCUUGUGACAGCUUUGGGAGAAAAAUGGGUGAAGCAACGGAAGUUGGCGAAUUAUGCUUUUCAUGGGGAAAGCUUACAGGUAAAAACGCUCUAAACAUGUGAAUUAGUUGUCUAAAUCUUUCUUAUAUGUUGGAAGAUUGAUUGUGCAGAACAUGACACCAGCUGUAAUUGCUAGUGUUGAAACAAUGCUAGAAAAGUGGAAAGGCUAUGCAGGCAAAGAGAUGGAAGUGUAUCAUGAAUUUAGAUUAUUGACUUCGGAAGUAAUAUCCAGAACAGCUUUCGGUAGCAGUUACUUGGAAGGGGAGAAGAUUUUUGACAUGUUGAACAAGUUGUCAAUAAUUAGGAGCCGAAAUCUUUUCGAAACUCGAAUUCCUCUGAUCAAGUAUGUUCCCUCUAAAAGCUUAAUUGAUCCCUCGGUUUUGUCAUAUUACUGACCUUGGUUUACUUUUACAGCAAGUUAUGGAAAUCUGGUGAUGUGCUAGAGUCUGAAGAACUUUCAAAAGAAAUACAAGAUUGUGUGAUGAAGAUUGUUAAGAAAAGAGAAGACGAAGUUGUGAAUGGAGAAGCCAAUAGCUUCGGCAAUGAUUUUCUAGGAUUACUUGUAAAUGCCUAUCAUGAUUCGGAUGAAAAUAACAGACUUUUAAUGGAAGACUUGGUGGAUGAGUGCAAAACAUUCUACUUUGCUGGACAAGAUACUGUUAAUUCCUUACUUGCAUGGAUAGUCUUCCUUUUAGCAAUUCAUGGAGAUUGGCAAGAGAAAGCAAGAAGAGAAGUGAUUGAGAUAUUCAGUAACCGAAUUCCGGAUUCUGAAGGCAUGUCUAAACUCAAAACUGUAAGUAAACUGUGAAACUCUUUCAAUACAAUAUCGUGUUGCAGUUAUUUAUCUUCUUUAAUGUAACCUGACAUAAUCAUAUUCUUCAAAUAGAUGACUAUGAUUAUUUACGAAACUUUAAGAUUGUAUGGUCCACCAAAUGGCCUACCAAGAAGGGUUACAAAAGAAGUGCAGUUGGGAAAGCUAGUCUUGCCUGCUAGCAUAGAUAUUUUGGUUCAAAAUAUUGCACCUCACCAUGACCCUCACAUGUGGGGAGAUGAUGUACAUCUUUUUAAACCAGAGAGAUUUGCAGAAGGGAUUGCCAAAGCUACCAAUUACAAUGCAGGUGCAUUUUGUCCCUUUGGAUUAGGACCUCGAAAUUGUGUUGGUAUGAACUUUGCAACCAUGGAAACGAAGAUUGUGCUCUCCAUGAUUCUACAACGCUACACCAUUUCCCUCUCCCCUACCUAUGUCCACUCACCAAUACCUUAUAUCACCGUUCAACCACAACACGGAAUUCAAGUAAUACUUGAGUCACUGGGUAAUGAUGCUUAAUAUGCAAAGCUGCAAUCCAAUAAAUUCAUCUUUCACCUUCAACUUGUUUUGAGUUUUGAUGUUUGCGCAAAUGAUCCCGAUGAGUUUAGAGAAUGUUGGGUUGGGAUGGCUUGGGUUAGAAUGUUUUCUACUUAUUGGGUUUGUUUUUUUACUGUAUUUUGUUAUAGUUUGAGUUGAAAUUUCUCUAAAAUAAGAUUAUCUACUAAAAUAAUAUGAAAUCUACAUGA